GGUUUGUAUCCGGGCUGUGAGGUGCUCGGAGCCUCGGCGGACCUUGCUGCCUCUGUCUCUUUAACGCGAGAGGAAGCGAUGCAGAGGGGUGGAAAAUGGCAGAGCUGCAGAUGUUACUAGAGGAGGAGAUCCCGUCUGGCAAGAGGGCGCUGAUCGAGAGUUACCAGAACCUGACUCGGGUGGCAGACUACUGUGAAAACAACUACAUACAGGCUACAGACAAGAGAAAAGCUUUAGAGGAGACCAAAGCCUAUACAACCCAAUCUCUAGCUAGUGUUGCUUAUCAAAUAAAUGCAUUGGCCAACAAUGUACUCCAGUUGCUGGAUAUCCAAGCCUCUCAGCUUCGGAGAAUGGAGUCUUCCAUCAAUCAUAUCUCACAGACUGUGGAUAUUCAUAAGGAGAAAGUGGCACGAAGAGAGAUUGGUAUUUUGACAACAAAUAAGAAUACAUCAAGAACUCACAAAAUAAUAGCACCUGCGAAUAUGGAGCGCCCUGUAAGGUAUAUUCGGAAACCUAUCGAUUACACAGUUCUGGAUGAUGUGGGCCAUGGUGUCAAGUGGCUAAAAGCCAAGCAUGGAAAUAACCAGCCUGCAAGAACUGGCACACUGUCGAGAACAAAUCCUCCUACUCAGAAACCGCCAAGUCCUCCCAUGUCAGGCCGGGGAACACUGGGACGGAAUACUCCUUAUAAAACCCUGGAACCUGUUAAACCCCCAACAGUUCCUAAUGACUAUAUGACCAGUCCUGCUAGGCUUGGAAGUCAGCAUAGUCCAGGCAGGACAGCAUCUUUAAAUCAGAGACCAAGGACACACAGUGGAAGUAGUGGAGGAAGUGGAAGUCGAGAAAACAGUGGUAGCAGUAGUAUUGGCAUUCCCAUUGCUGUGCCUACACCUUCGCCACCCACUAUUGGACCAGGGAUGAGGAACCCAUGGAUAUGGAGGGCUGACUGUAUUUGCCUCGCAUACUAGUCAAGAAUGACAUUUAUUAUUUCAAGAGCAAACCAGUAUUGUACGAUACUCCAGCUGGAGAAUCAGUGUCUAUAAAGCCCCGGGCUCAGCUCCUGGUUCCCAGUAUGGCACAAUGACCAGGCAGAUAUCUCGACACAACUCUACUACUUCUUCGACAUCUUCUGGUGGAUACAGACGAACUCCCUCUGUGACUGCUCAAUUUUCUGCUCAGCCUCAUGUUAAUGGAGGUCCACUUUAUUCUCAAAAUUCAAUUUCUAUUGCUCCACCCCCUCCCCCUAUGCCUCAGUUGACUCCACAGAUACCUCUCACAGGCUUCGUGGCCAGGGUGCAGGAAAACAUUGCUGAUAGUCCAACUCCACCGCCACCACCUCCACCAGAUGACAUUCCCAUGUUUGAUGACUCUCCACCUCCCCCACCACCACCACCAGUGGAUUAUGAAGAUGAGGAGGCUGCAGUAGUUCAGUAUAAUGAUCCAUAUGCAGAUGGGGAUCCUGCUUGGGCCCCCAAGAAUUAUAUUGAGAAAGUUGUUGCAAUAUAUGAUUAUACAAAAGACAAGGAUGAUGAGCUGUCAUUUAUGGAGGGUGCAAUCAUUUAUGUUAUAAAGAAGAAUGAUGAUGGCUGGUAUGAAGGAGUCUGCAAUCGAGUGACUGGUCUGUUCCCUGGGAACUAUGUUGAAUCAAUCAUGCACUAUACUGAUUAAUUUUUUUUUUUCUUUUGAAGUAGAUUCUUAUUACUCAGUCAUACUGUGGGACUAUUAUGGUUAACAGAACUGUCUUAAUAUGUUUUAAAAUGUGCCCAUAUUUUCAGAACAUGCUGUUUUAUUGGUAAAUUGAAUGUCUACCUGUAAGCAUAAAUCUUUGAGGCAGUUUAUGUAUUGCUGAAUAGCAAUUUAUACAAGAAGCUGUCCAUAACUGAUUAUGCUUAUGUACUUACUUACACAUUUUUAACUUUAUGACCAGCCUAAAUAUUCUGGGGGAAGUGGGGUAUAAUAUUUAACGAAUCAUGAUUCAGAUUGUACCAUUACAUGUUUCAGUGCAGCAUGGUUACUAACGCUAUGUCAGACUAAUAUUAAAAUCAGAAAAUUUAAAUGCUGGUGCUGGUCAGACUUUUUUUGUUAGAUUCUCUCAUUUAAAAAAAAUACUGUUUGUUUAAAGCAUGCAUAAAAAUUUAUGUAUUGAAAUAUACUUAAAAAUUCAAGAUGCUUCCCAUUUGUGUAAUAUUUACCUGGAGGACUCGUACUUAGGUGUCUUAACGUGAAUUGAGUCUCCAAGGUCUCCAUGUGAAACAAGCAAAAAGAGAAUUAUCUGUAAUGUUGUAAUUUGUACCUAAGUUUUUUAAUGAGUGAAAUUUGCAUUAUAAACUUUUUCCAUUCAUAAAUACAUAAGUGAACCAAAGGUUUUUGUCCUUUCCUUCACUGAUUUGCUUUAAAAAAAAUAAAAGAUAAUGAUUUAUUGCAGAAUUAUGAUUCUAUUUUCUCAAUAUGUUAACUUGGAAAAAAAUUUUAGCCUUAUCUUAAUCUGUCCCAACAGCAAUGUGACGGAUUUUUGCAGAUUCAAAAUCUGCAAUGGUUAUUUACAAGUCAAUCUACUGAAUUCCUUUUUUAAAUAAUCUUUUGAAACUAAGAAAAUGUGUCAAAUUGUGUGCAUUCAUUCUGUAGGUAAAAUUCUUAAGGAUUGCCAUGUCAGUCCUUCAGUUGUACAGUGAACUGUUGUACACUGGUUCAAUGAAAGGAAGUUAAAAGUACCUUUUACAUAUUGUAAAAGUGGAUACAGUUGAUUUGUGAGUAGGCACUCUUUAAUCCAUUACCUGGCACUAGCAACAUUAGAAUUUUAAAAUAAAAUAAUUGGGAAAGAAGGUGGGUCAUGUAUUAAUCAGUGAACAGAGAUUUACCUAACCAACAGACUUGGAUUGUCUUUUGACAUAAUCAAAAUGCAACACAUGCACUUUGUGUGUCUCCUCUUAAUUGAAGGGAGGGCUGAGGGAUGUUUUCUCUUCUUGUCUUGUGUAUAAUUCUCUAUUGCUUAGGAUAUUAAAGUAGAGCACUCAAGUGUGGGUUUCUGUGUUAUUGAGGAUUUGUUUGGAAUUCAAAUUACAGUUAUGUACUGGAUGCUACAGACUUAUAACAGCAUAGUGAAUGGUAAGACUAGUGCAAAACAGUUAUUUCUGAAAAUUAAAGACCAUUAUUGCUACCAAAUCAAUGUGACUAUUUCAUAUGCAUUUUGCCUUUGUUAAUUUUAAACAAACAAAGUAUCAUUAGUGAUCAGCUAGCUACCUUCUACUUUCCAUUUUUCAAGUGGAUUGUUCUCUUAAUUUGUAUAUAACCUGUUGUCUAAAUUUUAUGUACAGUCUUUUAUAAUAAACCAUUCUCCUAUAUGAAAUUUUGGAUACUGUUAAAAUAUAACUCAUGUGGACUUCAAUGCAGACUUCACAUUUUUCUGACCUUUACUCCUACGGUAAAUCAAGACAAACCAUUUGAAUUUUAACAUUGGUUAUUUAUUUGUGUAAUGGCCUUACAUGUGGAUAUUAACAGUGUAAACAAUACCACAUAUAACCAUCAAGAUACCUUGAUUAUAAUUUAUAGGACUAGAAUGACAGAUUCAGGUGGUUUAUUAAUUACAUUUAAAAAGUUUUCUGAAAAAACUUUUGCAAUAAAAAAAAAUAAAUUGCCCAUCAA